rnacentral:rRNA from 1 species
GAUGAACGCUGGCGGCGUACCUAACGCAUGCAAGUCGAACGGGGAGAAUUUAGCAAUAGAUUCUUCUAGUGGCAAACGGGUGAGUAACACGUAGGGAUCUACCUUGAAGCGGGGAAUAACGGACCGAAAGGUUCGCUAAUACCGCAUGAUGUCGUGAGACCAAAGGGGCAAGCAAUUGCUUCACUUCAAGAGGAGCCUGCGUUCGAUCAGGUAGUUGGUGAGGUAACGGCUCACCAAGCCGAUGACCGAUAGCUGUUCUGAGAGGAAGAUCAGCCACACUGGGACUGUGACACGGCCCAGACUCCUACGGGAGGCAGCAGCGAGGAAUAUUGCACAAUGGGCGCAAGCCUGAUGCAGUAACGCCGCGUGGGGGAAGAAGACCUUCGGGUUGUAAACCUCUUUUGAUAAAGACGAGUGAGGACGGUAUUUAUAGAAUAAGUCUCGGCUAACUACGUGCCAGCAGCCGC